rnacentral:rRNA from 1 species
GACGAACGCUGGCGGCGUGCCUAAUACAUGCAAGUCGAGCGGGGAUUAUGCUUGAUCGCUUCGGUGAGACGGCAUAUAUCCUAGCGGCGGACGGGUGAGUAACGCGUGGGUAAUCUACCUCGUAGUUCGGGAUAACAGGCCGAAAGGCUUGCUAAUACCGGAUGAGUUCAUGCUUAUGCAUAUAGGCAUGAAGAAAGGGCUAGCCCGCUAUGAGAUGAGCCCGCGUCCCAUUAGCUUGUUGGUGGGGUAAUGGCCUACCAAGGCAACGAUGGGUAGCCGGCCUGAGAGGGUGUACGGCCACACUGGGACUGAGACACGGCCCAGACUCCUACGGGGGCAGCAGUAGGGAAUUUUCGGCAAUGGGCGAAAGCCUGACCGAGCGACGCCGCGUGAGGGACGAAGGCCUUCGGGUUGUAAACCUCUGUCUGGGGGAUGAGAACGGACGGUACCCCGGACGGAAGCCCGGCUAACUACGUG